CGUUCUUCACUGGCUAGCUUU
rnacentral:miRNA from 1 species